AUGGCUGCUUCUGCUGCUCUGAAGAUGGCUGCCCUGUGCGUGCUGGCGAUGAUAGCCCACGCGUCAUCGACUGCUAAGCAUGACGCAGCCGCCGGCGCGCUGCUGCGUGAGCUCGUGCGGAACGUCGUCGCCGAGGAGCUAGGCCUCUCCGGCGGAGGCGCCGGCGGCGCCGGCGGCCGUGGCAACGUCGGCGACGCCUGCCCGGCGGCGUGCCAGAACUGCCUGAUCCUCUGCGCGAUCAAGUGCGUCCUGAAGCCCACCCCGGUCGCCUGCUACGCCGACUGCAUUAGCAAGGACGCCUGCUUCAAUGCUGGUGAGGUGACUGAGUCAUGAGACAUGAGUU
rnacentral:lncRNA from 1 species